AGGGCCUCUACCAAGCUCUGGUAGACUUAGGAACCACAGUCGGCUAGGCACCACUGUCACCUGUGGAUGGUAAAGGAAUGCCGGAUGAAGCCGGAACAUCCAGUGGUGCACGCCAGCGCAGGAGUACAGAAGAAGAGGGCAGGGAACAUGAGGAGAUAUUGUGGCCUUCGGAGUGGUGGUGUGGUGAUGCAGGAAGGAGGAUAGGAGGUCGCAUUAACCUGGCUGUCAUUGAUCCGAACCCUGCUGAACUUUUGCUGAGUAAAUACUUUCACUGAAGCCAUUUCAGGUGCAAAUGCAAAUGAGUGGCGCAGAGUGAUGGUCGAGGAGAUUGCUGCAUUAGCAGCUAACGGCGUUUGUGCGCCAUGUGCACAGCCUCAUGAUAUAAUAUGCUACUGUACCGGUGGGUGUACAAAUUCAAAACACCGGAAAAUGACAAUGUCAAGCGCUCUUUUGCAUGGCUAGUUGCAAAGGUGUACGAGAAGUACGAGAUCUUGGAGAAGUGCAGGUGUUUUCGGGCAUGGAAAUUAUGAGGAUGAAGCCGGGCGAAUUAAUGUUGUCGCUAUAUUGAGCAGCUAUUGGAGCGUCACCAGAUGGUGGACGCCAAGCCGCGGUCUACCCCUUUGCCUCCGGGUAUUAGGUGCACACCUACGGGGGAUAAAGAAGAGCUGCUGGGUAAUCCCACGGAGUAUAGGGCUUUAGUGGGAGGGUUGAACUACAUAGCGACGAACACACGGCCUGACAUUCCUUAUGCAUGGAGUGUUUCGUCCCGGCUUAUGGCCACACCUACGAAGAGUGCCAUGAACUUGGCAACUGGUGUUCUACGUUACCUGGCGGGUACUCGCGAACUAGGAUUGCGUUUUGGAGAUGUUGGCGGUGUUGCAAUGUCCGGGUACAGCGAUUCGGACUGGGCAGGAGACCCAGUUACGCGGCGUUCUACGUCGGAUUACGUAUUCACUCUUAAUGGGGCUGCGAUUAGCUGGAGCAGCCAACUUCAACGUACUGUGGCGGCUUCGUCGGUGGAGGCCGAGUACCAAGCUACAGCGGCAGCUGUUCGUCAAGCUUUGUGGCUUCGCAAGCUGAUGGUCGAUUUGGGCUUGCCUGAGAGCACGGUGAAAAUCCAGAUAGACUCCCAGGGUGCGCUUAGCUUGGGAAAUAAUCCGAUUACGUCUGCUCGGUCGAAACACAUCGACGUGCAGCACCACAUAGUGCGUGAGAGGGUGAAUAGUGGGGAGGUGCAGUUGGAGUACUGCCCUACAGAGUGGAUGGUAGCGGAUGCGCUCAUGAAGGCACUGGGAGGAGUGAAGUUCAAACGGUGCAGAGAAGUGUUGUGUGAAGUGCCCAUUGGCGGAGCAAAUGUGCUACUGCGAGUUGGGAUAUGUCCCGAGGGGGCGUGCUGAAGGGCGGUCCUAUUCCAACGUAGACAGGUGGUAGUUAGGCAAUGAAUCCGCCGCGAUAGGCGUUGCCUCGGCCGUGCCUCGACCUUGCCUCGGCCGUGCCUCGACCUUGCCUCGGCCGUGCCUCGACCUUGCCUCGGCCGUGCCUCGACCUUGCCUCGGCCGUGCCUCGACCUUGCCGAGUUGCAGAGAGAGCCGCAGCCUAACGUGCAGGGAAGGAGUGGAGGUGGUCUUGGCACCCACACGUGGCAGGUGGGGUAGCAUGCCUCAACAGACAGGCGGGGGCGGCAGUGCAGUGAUGCCGUGUAUUUUGUUUGCUGCAAGAUAAGAACCACUAUCAAAUGUCUGACUACGAAGCGGCUAGUAUUGGUGUACCUGAGUCAGGGCCUCUGCCAAGCUCUGGUAGACUCAGGAACCACAGUCGGCUAGGCACCACUGUCACCUGUGGAUGGUAAAGGAAUGCCGGAUGAAGCCGGAACAUCCAGUGGUGCACGCCAGCGCAGGAGUACAGAAGAAGAGGGCAGGGAACAUGAGGAGAUAUUGUGGCCUUCGGAGUGGUGGUGUGGUGAUGCAGGAAGGAGGAUAGGAGGUCGCAUUAACCUGGCUGUCAUUGAUCCGAACCCUGCUGAACUUUUG
rnacentral:lncRNA from 1 species